CGCAUCUUGCGCUCCUUGGUAUUCCGAGGAGCAUGCCUGUUUGAGUGUCAUUAUAUUCUCAACCCUCCCUCUACUUUGCUGUGGAGGAGGGCUUGGAUUGUGGAGGCUUGCUGGCCACUAGUCUGAGGUCAGCUCCUUUGAAAUGCAUUAGCGGAACCGUUUGCGAUCUGCCACAAGUGUGAUAAUCUAUCUGCACUGGCAAGGGGGAUUGCUCUCUGCGUUGUUCAGCUUCUAAUUGUCCCGGCUUGACGGGACAACUUGUUGAAUGCUUGACCUCAAAUCAGGUAGGACUACCCGCUGAACUUAA
rnacentral:misc_RNA from 1 species